rnacentral:lncRNA from 1 species
GUUUUCAGAGGCGUGGAGGGAGCCCGAGAAGAGCAGACAUUAACACCACCACCACUGCCUGCAGCAGUGAGACCAGGGGCACAGUUUCUGUUGAAAGGGUCGACCAGGAAGCACUUCCUUGACUCUGUCGUAAAGCCUCUGGAGAGCCCUUAAAUUUGUGGUCCUUGAAGCUAUUGUAAAGGUGAGGACACAGCGAGGAGUAGGCUGUCUAUGAACCAGGAAGUGGGCCCUCACCAGACACAGAAUCUGCCGGCACCUCAAUUUGGACUUCCCAGACUCCAGAACUGCAAGAAAUUAAUUUCUAUUGCUCACAAGCCACCCAGUCUAUGGUAUUCUGUUACAGCAGCUGGAGCAAACUGAGACAGUACUUGACAGUGUUUUUCAUGAAGGUUCUCCCUGCUCAUUUUUAAGCCCACUGGUUCAGACAGAAGCCUCCGGGAGAGCCCUCCAGGGUCCACCUUGAAGGCUUCAUUCCUUCUACCCAGAGCAUCUCUGUGGAGAGGAAGAAAAAGCAUCAACAAAAUGAGGUGCCCCAGUGGUUCUGGGGAGCAAUUUCUCUCUUCAUAUGACUAUGUGGGAAACCCCCAGUGAGAUGGAGUGUGCUUUUAAGCCAUGA